CUUGGGGCCGGCCUGGCUAGCAGGCUUCAGCAGACCAAGGUUUUAAGUCAAUAAUCUGAUCUGGCCUGGCCUUUUUAUUUUUGGGCCUGGGCCUGGUCCGACUGAUCAACGGUCAAAGCCUGGCAGGCCUAGACCAGGCCAGGCCAGGCGGUCUGUUUGUGCAUGCCUACAUCCAGGCGAGGUAUCGGAAAUAUGUAUUUCCCUGUAAUUUUGUUGAUUGUUGGUGUGUUGUCGCAAACAACCAAAAAUAAAUUCUUACUGCGAACAAUAUUUAUGUAGUAGUGUAAGUAAGAGUUGAU
rnacentral:lncRNA from 1 species